GAAGCACAGGCGGAAGAGCUCCCGGUUGGCAGCGGCGAGAGCGGAGGAAGCGGAGGCGACCGAGGCGGAGGCCGCGGCCGAGCCCGGUCCCGAAGGGGCGCUGGAGGGUGAGCAGUGCGGGCGGGCGCGCAUACGUAGCGACCCCCGUGGCCGAUCCCACGGUUGAGGGCGCGGUGGGGCGGCGCGAAGUGGGGCGGGCGGGCGGGAGGGCUGGCCCUCUCCUCCCCUGCGGCCGUCCUGCCUGCGGAGCAGGGGUAGCCCGGUGAGGGGGUUGUCCUCCUGGACAGCCCCCCUGGAAGCAGUGGGGUGUCUCAGUGGGUCUGGAAAGGGGUGCUUGGCGCUCCUGGAAGGCUGUCGGGCUGGAGUCCCGUGGGCUGGAGCCCAGCUGCCCGGCCUGUUUCUCACCUAUUUCUCGUUUCAGGGGACGAGCGUCCCUUUGGGAAUCCCGACUCCUUGACCCGACCCCCGAUAAGAGCCUGUAGAGCGGCAGGCAAUUCUUCAUAUAACUUUCUUCAAGAGAAUCCAGUAAAAGAAAAAGCAAAGGCUUAUGACAGUAACGAACCUGAGAAACCAGCAGGGCAUCGACCAAACUUUUAUACACCGUUAAAAGAAAGAAAGACUGACUUCCUUGAGAAAAAUCAAGAGCACUAUUCAACGACAUCACAGAGUAAGUAAAAAAGUGGAUACCUAGGUUUUCCCUGUAAUUAAGUGAAAAGUACAGAAUUCUUUUCCUUUCCUCUGCUUGUGGGUUUUCUUGUGCCCUGGGACAGUCUGUCUGUCUGGGAAGGUGGAAAGAGGCCCAGGAGGCAGAUCCAAAUGGAAGCUGGAGCACAUUCCAGAGCCCUUCUAUGAGGUUAUUCAACUCGCUGACCACAGAAAAUGACCCACUUUUUUUUUUUUCUUUUUUUGGCUCAAUUAGGCAAUGGAGUUGACUCAUGGGACAAUUUGUAAGUGCAGAGCAUGUACUGGUGGCAUUGUGGGGGUGAGCUGAGGAAGGGAACAAAAGGUAGCAGUGAAUGUUAGUUUGUACACAUCGCCUUCCC
rnacentral:lncRNA from 1 species